rnacentral:lncRNA from 1 species
AUCCUGACACUACGAAUACAACAUCAAACACCUAAAAUGUACAUAAUCUUAUUUUAUACCGUAAAAAAAUAUGACUUUAGGCCAAGGUUUCCAGAAAUUGUAUUCUAAAUUCAAAAAUGUCCUGCUCCAAGUCAGGAAUGUGGAAGUUGUUGUCACAUAAUUAUUCUGUUUCUAUGUAUGCGUUUGAUGUAAGAGCAGUUCAAUGUUUCUCAUGUUCCCUUUUGUUUCCUCUUAUAGUUGAUGUGUUUCCCUUAGUUUUUGGUUUGUGACCCGGACUUCAGUAACAUUUAUUUAUGACUAUUGCCUUAAUAUACUAUCACUUUGAAGUGGAACAGUCUUUUCUUAAAUGUUUAGGUUUACGCCCACGGCUAAUUUUUUUUAUCUGAAAUAAAUCUCUCUAAUUUUAAUCUUAAUAAAUGUAUAAACGGUAAAC